AUGAACAUCACCCACUCUCCCCCAACUUCUCUCUCCCUGGUUGCUUUAUUCUCUCUCUUCAAAACCCAUAGAAAUCUGCAAAUCCAACUGUGCAUAUUCGAUGGUGUCCCCGCAUUGCACUUUCGUCGACAGUGUCGACGAUGCAGGAUCGACGAGCUCAGGUCGCCGUUUGAAAACAAGUUUUAAAAAAAUCAACGAGCUCCUGUUAUUAAUAUUUCUUCAUGAUGUGCAGUUCAUAAAAUCGGCUUGUUAUAUAUAUUUAAAUCGCGAUCCUCAACUUCUUCUCGGUCAUCCCUUCCUUCCAUGAAACUGCAAUUUUCAUAAGGAGAAAGAUAACGAUAAUAAAGGAAAAUUAUUCCUUUGCUGUAGUCGAAAUUGUGAAUUUUGAAUCAAGAGGUGAAUGUAGUCGUGGCAACACUACCACCCCUACCACUAUGAUGGACAACACAGAUGAAGAAAUGUCGUGCAUGUUUCGAUCUAGAGUUCGGAUAAGUGACGAAGAAGAAUUGCAGAUUUCAUUGAAGGUGAAUGUGAGCAUCUCCGGAUGGAAACAAGAACCACGGAAGUGAAUGCAAAAGGGAAGCGGCCUACUUGACAUGUUGCAUCAUGGAAACAUUUUAGAUGCUUCGGUUUUGUGUAGAUAAGAACUAAUUACCAAUUUUAUGUUCUGAACUUGCAGUCGUUGUGGAUAUUCCAUAUUGCAUUAUGCCCUUGUAUAUUAAUCUAUUUUUGCAUUAUGCCCUUAUGUAUUACCGAAACCCAUGGUUCGCCUGGAAAGAAAAUGAAUUUAGGAAUUAGAAUUUCACUAA